CUGGGAUUCGACCACAGGUGUCCCGACCUCCAAGUGUGGCACAUCUACUCCACUAUGGAAAUCGAGAGCACAGCCAACCCGCUAGCUACUGGACAUCAGGUUUUACUGUCUCCGGUCCCUUCACUCUCCGUGCAGUGUGGACCACAGUGUAUUUCUCGGAACUCGACCCAUUGAGGAGGAUUUCCAUCCAGCAUCGUCUUCCAGAGCCACCACUAAGCAAGGUGGUGACAGUCUGUUUUUGGAGAGACCAUAUGUUGCUUCAGCUCCCCUAUGAACCGGGCCGAGUUCUUCCUUCACUUGAUCCUAAACAUCGCCUCCUGAGGCCACACGUGUGAGCUGAGAAAGAGGUGUCAAUUUGAAAAAGGUCAUUACAAGGAUGUCUGCCUCAUUACCUGUCAUGUCGUUAAUUUGUGCCUCUGGGACCUGCGUGAGCCUGGCCCCAAAUAAAC
rnacentral:lncRNA from 1 species